UUAGGUUGGGAUCAUGGUGCCAGAGGCAGGACCAAAAUGAGAUCCCCUCAGACAAAUUGGCAACCCCUGGAAUGGAGUGUGGUAUCAACUGAGCCCACUGUGUAUCUCCUCUUGGAUUCUAGGACUCUUACUUUGGAUAAUGGUGUAAUUGAAAUUUCACAUUCAGUAGCUUCUGCUGGUAACUUGACUGAACCUGAGCUAUGAGAUGCUUUAGUCUACCUAGUGGAGGUACAACCCCUAUGAGAGUAAUGUUGGCCUAGCA
rnacentral:lncRNA from 1 species